AGUGUGGCCUGCAGGUCUCUGCCACCACCAUCACACUAUCCCCAGGGCCCAUCCCAGCAGACAUUGCCCAGGGCCUGGCCCUGUACCGGCGCAAGAUUGACCUAGAGUCGUCCCCCCGGGACUCUCCUCCACUCGGGGCUUCCGCCAACAACUCCUGUGCGCGUGUCCGUUCGGCCCUCUUCGAGCGGGUCUCCUUCAGCGAGAUCAGCCAGGAGUUGGAUGCGGUGCUGAUCCGCACUGGCGUGCUCCCAUCAGAGUCCCUGAUCAUCGUGCAGACAGAGCAUGUACCCAAGAUGAUUGUGUUCCAGGCUCAUCCCCUAUUGGUUGAGAACGCAGCAGUGGUUCCACCUCCGUGUGACGUCCCUGUCAGGUAUAAGUGCAGCUGUGCCUCAAUGGUGGGCGCCCUCGAAGACGUGGUGGCACCAUUGGAGAUGGCCGGUGCAUCUCAGCCUAGCUAUCCCAUCUGUGAGAGAGCAGGUCCCGUGGUGGCGAGACCAGCUGCUAUGGUCGCUGAGCCUGAGGAGUCUCCAGCCCUUGGAGACAAGGUUGUACCCCUUGAGGUCCACUCUGCACCAGUCAAACCCCAGGAGAUGACACCCUCAAGGCACUCCAUCCCAGUUGGAACACUGGAGCUCCCUGUUUCAGCCCCUGCUGUGUCUGACUCCCCUGCUGUGUCUGACUCCCCUGCUGUGUCUGACUCCCCUGCUGUGUCUGACUCCCCUGCUGUGUCUGACUCCCCUGCUGUGUCUGACUCCCCUGCUGUGUCUGACUCCCCUGCUGUGUCUGACUCCCCUGCUAUGUCUGACUCCCCUGCUAUGGCUGUCCAAGAGGCGCAGAUUAGUUUGACCGAUCGUCCUCUCUCAGUCAUCCUACACUCCCUCUCUGGUGCAACUUCACCAUCCGAGACAGCAGAGGAUGUGAUGCUGGUUCCUAUGGUAGUGUCCCCUCCUGAAUCAGUCAAAAGGGUGGUGAGAGAGUCCUCUGAUCUUCUGUGUCCUCUUCCUGCAGCGACAUUGGAGACUGAGUCUGUUAGUGGGAUUUGUCCCCCUCCUUCUCCAGUGACUGUGGAGAUCCAGUCUUCCAUUCUGGCUUCUCCCCUUACUGCUGCAACCGUGGAGACAGAAUCCUCCAAUCAAAUUUGUCCUUCUUCUGUGGUCAGCGUGGAGACUGAAUUGGCCGAUAUGCUAUCUCCUUCUGCUGCAGAGACAGUGGAGGCCGAAUCUUCUGUUUUGACCUGCCCCCAUACUGCAGUGACCCUCGACUUUGUGGCCCCUGUUUCUGUGUACCUUCCUGUUGUGGCACCAGAAGAGACCGGUGUCCCCAGUGUGAAGCUCCCAGCUCCCGUGCCUGCCUUGACAGAGGAAACUCAGUGCCAGUCUGCUUCACCAUGCCUACCCACCCUCACGGCCGCAGGAGAGUCCAGAACCCCCUUCUUGGUCUACCUCCCACUGCCUGCUCCAGAGCUGGCUAAGACCCCUGGUCUGUUGUGCCAACUCGGCCUGGGACCAGAGGAAGCCAAGAGCUUCCCUUUCCUGUGUCUCCCUAUUUCUGACAUCCCCAGGACCCCAAGUCUUGUGACUGCCAGCCUGGCUCCAGCUCAGACUGCGGCUGUGGCUCCUGCUGCUGCUCCGGAUUUACCAAGGACCAACCUCCCUGGAGUGACAGAUAUCCCCAGGACCCUGAGUUAUGUGGCGGCUGGAGCUCAGGAGCUACCACGGCUCCAGAGCUAUGCGGCUAACACCGCUGAAGUCCAGGAUCCACCGAGGACCCCCAGCUAUCUGGCUAACACCCCUGGAGUUCAGGAAAUACCACACAACCCCAGCUAUCUGAAAAACUCAGCUGUCUUCCAAGAUAUGUGCUAUAUGUGCCCCUCUGUUACCGCCUCCAAUCUGUCCAGGAACAAUAGCUUUGUGCACUCUCCGGCUGCCAUGGCUCCACAGCAGCUGAUUAGGGGCCCGUGUAUGAUGUCUCUGUACCCCCAGGGAGGGCCUGUGAUGGGCCACUGUACCCACUCCCCAGGACAGUGUCCUGCGUCUCUGCAGCAGCAGGCUGACAUGGCUCCGCUCACCCACGGACAGCAGACCAACACCAACUUCAUGCCCAUUUGUUCUCAAGGGCCAAGCCUGUGUAGCUGCCUCGGCAGAACUGGCAGCCACUGGCGCCUCUGUCACCUGACGCGACCCGAGUCCCAGGGCAGGGUGGGCGGCAUGAUCUGCCCCUACCAGAACUCCCAGACCAUGAUGCACUGCAACAGCCUGGAUCACAUGGCCAACAUCCCCAUGUACCAGGACUGUGGCCACUACUCUAGCAGCUGCCACCUGCUGCCACCGUGCUCCCAGUCGUCCCACGGCAGCCUGCACACGCACCACGUGGCCGAGCCCCGUUGCUCUGCUCACAACCUGGGCACCUCCUUCGUCCAGCCCCAGAACUGCUCCUCCGACCCUCUCUUCCACUACCCCCAGCAGUACCACCUGGUGGCCACCCCCUCCCAGGAGAGGCAGCAGGCCCUGUGCCCUCUCCAGUGCCCACUGCUGCAGCAGCGCCACAGCUCCCUGCUCUUCUGUGGGCACCAGGGGGAGCUGAGCAGGCUGGGCUCCUCCAGCUGUGUCCCUGCCACCAACCAGAGACAGAACCAGGGAGGGGUGGAGCAGAAGAACAACAACCCCAGCUGCGUAUCGCUUCAUAACAAAAGAUUAGACACGAGCGCAAACAACAAUCAAGGCUGCGUCAUGAACUGCAAUCCCCAGGGCAACUAAUCCCGUCUUCACAUGAGAAGGACCUUAUUUUUGCAGUUGCCAAUGACAGACAUGGGGGAUGAUGAAGUUGACCAAGAAAAGUGACGGAUCAAAUGAAGUUUUUCCAUCCGCAUUGAAUUCUUGAAAUAAAUACAAUUCAUC
ensembl:lncRNA